rnacentral:rRNA from 1 species
AGAUUGAACGCUGGCGGAAUGCCUUACACAUGCAAGUCGAACGGCAGCACGGGAGCAAUCCUGGUGGCGAGUGGCGAACGGGUGAGUAAUACAUCGGAACGUGCCCAAUCGUGGGGGAUAAUGUAGCGAAAGCUACGCUAAUACCGCAUACGAUCUACGGAUGAAAGCAGGGGAUCGCAAGACCUUGCGCGAAUGGAGCGGCCGAUGGCAGA